CGUCUGCUGAAAUAAGUUGUACCCCAGCAGGCCCCUCUUCAGGUCCAGCGGGUUCUCUGGACCUAUGCAAGCAAGUGUCAGCAGAGUCUUCAAGUGUGUGUGUGCACCGUGUUGAGUGAUAAGUCAGUGCAGGAAAUCAAGAUGCCUCCAACACACCUUGAUCAAAGGAGAACUGCACACCAGUUCUUCAGGAUUAAAAAUUUCCUAACGGUUAUUGGGGCCAUUGAUGGCAGCCACAUUACCAUGAAGGAGCAAAGUGUGGAUGAGGCCCUCUACUUGAACUGGAAAAGGUAUCACUCCCUCUGAACAUCCAACUUGUUUGUGAUGCAAGUGAAGUGAUCCUCAGCUACUGCUCCAGAUUGCCAGGUGCCUGCACUCUUGUGGAGGUGGCUUGCAGUACAGACCCAUCAAGUGUGUCAAAAUAAUUAAUACUUGCCUGCUCCUACACAACUGCUGCAUCAAGUUCCUGAUGACAUAUCUACCACCUCUUGAGGAUGAAACAGUGCCCCAUGCUGAUACCAACCCUGCUGUGCUGUCGAGGGAUCAGUGUGCUUCAGGCAGAAUUGUGUAGCAAGAAAUCAUACAAAACUUCUUCCAGCACUGAAGUAAGGAAGUGAGAUUGUCAAAGUGCCUGGGACAUGUUUUGUACAGCCAGCUGCACCAUCACCAGCUCGUCCAUACUCCGACUAAUCUGCUGUUGGGUUUCCUGUGCUUGAGAGAGAACUUCCAAGUCAGAGUGGCCAUCUGAAAUACAGUUUAGAAGCAAACAUGACUACACCUCAAGUUACAAAUGCAGAUGAUACACCAUUGUCAAAUCCAGAGGCCCCUGUGGACCCAGCGACACCAGCAGAAGAGGGUUGGAUGGCUCCAACACCACUGCUGGUGGAAGGCUGUGGUCCUAGAGGCCCUGACACUUCUGGAGAAAAAAAAAAAAAAAAAAAGCUGUCAUUACUGCAGGGUAUGGCAGUCCUGCAAAUGUUGUGUGAGACAACAUCCACAGCAUGACCAACUCCACAGCAGUGUGUGUUGUCUCAUCUGGAGGCCCCCACCUGCAUGGAUAUGAAUGUUGCAAUUAUCACCCACUUAGAAGUUCACAUGUAAAGCCAAAUCAACUUGGUGUAAAUCAUGAAUGCAUUAGAGCACAAUAAUGUUAUCUAGCACUGCAGUGGUCAUUGUCUCAGACCUGACUGCCAGAGGUACUGUACAUACUCCUAUUUAUAAUCCAUUGCUUAGUUGGUUCUUGGUUAUGUUUAUUGACUAUAUGGGUAAAUUUUGUAACAGCACCAAUAAUUAAAUACAUGUACACAAGAGCAAA